GUAGCCGGAUUUAUAUCAAUCCACAUGUGCUGAAAUAGAUUAGAGUGGAACUUAAACUAAAUUCCACUUUGAUCCACCCUAACACUUGUGGAUUGAGGUGAAUACGAUA
rnacentral:pre_miRNA from 1 species